rnacentral:lncRNA from 1 species
AGUCUACAUAUGGUGAAUAAAUGUGAUUAUGCUAGAUUUAAACUAUGGGUUCAAAGAGAUCUAAUGCUCUAAUUAAAGUAGAUCCCAAUAUAACAAAUUUCUUCAAACUUGAGCUAGAGGGAAGCUAUAUCCUCCAAGAGGGCUCUUAUUAUAUAGAUCACCAAGAACACCCUGAUUAGAAGAAGAUAGAUGCAAAGAACUCAGCAAGAUAAGCUAACUUUCAUGUUCUCAAGUAUUUCACACUUCUAAUGGGCUAG